CUAUGGAGUUGUUGCUGGCCUCUAGGGGCAUGUGCACGCUUCACUAGUCUUUCAACCACCUGUGAACUUUUGAUAGAUCUGUGAAGUCGUCUUUCAAGUCGUCAGACUUGGUUUGCUGGGAUUUAAACGUCUCGGUGUGACAACGCAGUCUAUUUACUUAACACACCCCAAAUGUAUGUCUACGAAUGUCAUUUAAUGGGCCUUGUGCCUAUAAACCAUAAUACAACUUUCAACAACGGAUCUCUUGGCUCUCGCAUCGAUGAAGAACGCAGCGAAAUGCGAUAAGUAAUGUGAAUUGCAGAAUUCAGUGAAUCAUCGAAUCUUUGAACGCACCUUGCGCCCCUUGGUAUUCCGAGGGGCAUGCCUGUUUGAGUGUCAUUAAAUUCUCAAACUCACUUUGGUUUUUUCCAAUUGUGAUGUUUGGAUUGUUGGGGGCUGCUGGCCUUGACAGGUCGGCUCCUCUUAAAUGCAUUAGCAGGACUUCUCAUUGCCUCUGCGCAUGAUGUGAUAAUUAUCACUCAUCAAUAGCACGCAUGAAUAGAGUCCAGCUCUCUAAUCGUCCGCAAGGACAAUUUGACAAUUUGACCUCAAAUCAGGUAG
rnacentral:rRNA from 1 species